rnacentral:rRNA from 1 species
GUGGGGAAUAUUGGACAAUGGGCGCAAGCCUGAUCCAGCCAUGCCGCGUGAGUGAUGAAGGCCUUAGGGUUGUAAAGCUCUUUCAGUGGGGACGAUAAUGACGGUACCCACAGAAGAAGCCCCGGCUAACUUCGUGCCAGCAGCCGCGGUAAUACGAAGGGGGCUAGCGUUGUUCGGAUUUACUGGGCGUAAAGCGCACGUAGGCGGAUCGUUAAGUCGGGGGUGAAAUCCUGGAGCUCAACUCCAGAACUGCCUUCGAUACUGGCGAUCUUGAGUCCGGAAGAGGUGAGUGGAACUCCUAGUGUAGAGGUGGAAUUCGUAGAUAUUAGGAAGAACACCAGUGGCGAAGGCGACUCACUGGUCCGGUACUGACGCUGAGGUGCGAAAGCGAGGGGAGCAAAAGGGAUUAGAUACCCUGGUAGUCC